GAUGAACGCUGGCGGCGUGCCUAAUACAUGCAAGUCGAGCGAACAGACGAGGAGCUUGCUCCUCUGACGUUAGCGGCGGAAGGGUGAGUAACACGUGGAUAACCUACCUAUAAGACUGGGAUAACUUCGGGAAACCGGAGCUAAUACCGGAUAAUAUAUUGAACAGCAUGGUUCAAUAGUGAAAGACGGUUUUGCUGUCACUUAUAGAUGGAUCCGCGUCGCAUUAGCUAGUUGGUAAGGUAACGGCUUACCAAGGCGACGAUGCGUAGCCGACCUGAGAGAGUGAUCGGCCACACUGGAAGUAAGACGCGGCCCAGACUCCUACGGGAGGCACCAGUAGGGAAUCGGCCGCAAUGGGCGAAAGCCUGACGGAGCACCGCCGCGUGGGGGAAGUAAGUCUUCGGAUCGUAAAACUCUGUUAUUAGGGAAGAACAAAUGUGUAAGUAACUAUGCACGGCUUGACGGUACCUAAUCAGAAAGCCACAGCUAACUACGUG
rnacentral:rRNA from 1 species